rnacentral:rRNA from 1 species
CAGCAGCCGCGGUAAUACGGAGGGAGCUAGCGUUGUUCGGAAUUACUGGGCGUAAAGCGCGCGUAGGCGGUUACUCAAGUCAGAGGUGAAAGCCCGGGGCUCAACCCCGGAACUGCCUUUGAAACUAGGUGACUAGAAUCUUGGAGAGGUCAGUGGAAUUCCGAGUGUAGAGGUGAAAUUCGUAGAUAUUCGGAAGAACACCAGUGGCGAAGGCGACUGACUGGACAAGUAUUGACGCUGAGGUGCGAAAGCGUGGGGAGCAAACAGGAUUAGAGACCCGCGUAGUCCCUGUCUCUUAUAC